rnacentral:rRNA from 1 species
UACGGAGGAUGAGAGCGUUAUCCGGAUUUAUUGGGUUUCAAGGGUGCGCAGGCGGAGGUGCAAGUCAGCGGUCAAAUUGCGGGGCUCAACCCCGACAAGCCGUUGAAACUGGCUUGCUAGAGUGGGCGAGAAGUAUGCGGAAUGCGUGGUGUAGCGGUGAAAUGCAUAGAUAUCACGCAGAACUCCGAUUGCGAAGGCAGCAUACCGGCGCCCAACUGACGCUCAGGCACGAAAGCGUGGGUAUCGAACAGG